rnacentral:rRNA from 1 species
UACGUAGGAGGCGAGCGUUGUCCGGAAUCACUGGGUGUAAAGCGCGUGUAGGCGGCCUGCCAAGUCUGCUGUGAAAGCGCCUGGCUUAACCGGGCGAGGUCGGUGGAAACUGGCGGGCUGGAGGACGGUAGAGGGGGGUGGAAUUCCCGGUGUAGUGGUGAAAUGCGUAGAGAUCGGGAGGAACACCAGUGGCGAAGGCGGCCCCCUGGGCCGUUCCUGACGCUGAGACGCGAAGGCGCGGGGAGCGGACGGG